AUUUCUAGAUUUGUUUAUGGAUUUCUUCCUCCAGUCAGUAUUAAUGAGGUGGGCGACACUAAUGCAGUGCUCAUGAGCUAUUGGUCGACAGGGGCUGAGCUGCAAGGCGGACCAGACGCGACUAAAUAAUAGGUCGAUAGGACGCGAACUGAUAGCAAAGGCCUGUAACAUGGCGAAGCGAAGGACUUUCGCGUGUUCUACGGGAUAUCGCAGAUCAACCAUAGGUUUCUUUUCAUUCGUUUUUGGUCAUCACCAAAAACGCAUAACUAUCAUAUCACUGAUGUUCAAUGAAACAUAUUUUGUGACUUUGACUUUGCCUUUCGUGCAGCAUCAAUAUCUGCAGUUGCUCAGUCAACUCUGAAUCAGCUCAACUCUGCCUGGCUUAGGCUCGUCCAAGUCGAUGGUAAGUUGUUUUAUGUUGUUUUACUUUAAUAAAAUAUAUAGGCAUGGCUGCUUAAACGCGGCAAAUGUCCAGCGGGCAAAUCGUGGAGUCUCGCAGAUAAACCCCUGGUUGCACAAGAGAGGACCAGCAGCACACUAAUGGUAAAUUUUAAUCGCAUUAUGUUUUACUUAGCGAUAACGCCAGUGUCUAAUUAUUUGAAAACUUUACUUAAGGUUAAGCCCAUUUAUGUGAUUAGAAUUACAAAAAUAUUCGACUUUCUUCUUGUAAGAAUUAGUACCAUUAAAAAUAUAUAUAUUUUUGUUUUUCCAUUUUUGUAUGGAACUGGAUGCAUGUCAACGUGCCUCACUUUUACAAGGCCGCUAUAACGGGGACAGCUAACGUUAUCCAAACACUGAACCUUAAGAAACAUAAUGAUUUGUGUAACUAAUGCAUUUAUUGUUCAAUUUUAGCGGAGGUUGCCGUACUGUUUAGGUCAUGUAAAGGAAGAGAGCUGUCUAUACGACAUACUUUUGGUCCAUUGAGACGGCCCUCUUCAUGUACUCAUAUAUUGAUGUCUGCCAGGAUAAAAGAUUCCUCCCUACUGCGCAGCAGAAACAACGACUGAGCUCAUUUGGUGUAGCGGAGAAGCAUGAUGCCUCUAGAGGUUCACUGCCGGGAUUUCGUGACUCCGCUCCACUCCUCGCCGGGUUUUGCCAGCCGCUCCGCCUAUUUUAAUGCUUCAUCGCGGGAGAAAGAAAUGGAGCAUAAACAUUUGAUAUUCUGGCUGUGUUGUGGCUUUGACGUGUGUGUGUGUGUGUGUGUGUGUGUGUGAGACCUUGUUUAAAAAAUUGUUGUAUUAUACACCAAAGAAAGAGACUUUUAUUUUUUUAUUUUUUUUUAAAACUCUUUACCAGUUCUAUUAUCCAUUCCGUUAGCCACUUAUCAUUCAUUUCCUUGUUACGGCCUCCAAGCGUGGACGGAGGUACAUAACAGCUCUCAAACGUAACGGCGUGGAUCUUCUGCCUGAAAUGGCUACAAGUCUAUUACUUGAUGCUGUACUUAAUUAGUAAGGUGCCAGCCUGAUUCAAAAACUACACGCCCCCUAAAGCCUUGACAUUCUUUAAGCAAGUUUAUUUUUUGUUAGGCCAGUUAUAGUCAUUACAUUAAAACACGUGAAAAGCAUUUAUAGGCUAAUUAGCCAGACACAACGAAACUGGGUGCGAUCUCUUCCAGUUCAUCCAUAUCCACAAAUGAGACACAAUGUGUUGACAUUGGUAGCGAGGUUACAUCAAAGUCUACCACGAUAAUUCAUGAAUCUUAAUCUUUUCCUUUAGAUAUUGAUGUAAACUGCUCUUAUUAUAUACCAAAAUGUUUGCAUCUUUUUCUAUUUGUUUUGAACGUGUAUUGUUUGGGUUUCCUAAUUUUACCUUUUUUGUAGCAUGUUUAGUACUAUUGGUUCAAUAUAAGUGUAAAUGCACUAUAGUUAAAUGCCUUGAUUUGUUAGCAGUAUAAUUAGCACACAUUAAGCACUAUUUUUAAAAGAUUUUUACAGAGAAAUAAAGCUAUUGGAACUGUU